rnacentral:rRNA from 1 species
AGWUUCCUCUGCCCWCACGUUCCUUGGGGYSWCAACGUAUAGGAAACGUACGCUAAUACCGCAUGCGCCCUACGGGGGAAAGCCGGGGACCGCAAGGCCUGGCGCGAUUGGAUGAGCCCAUGUUCGAUUAGCUAGUUGGCGGGGUAAAGGCCCACCAAGGCGACGAUCGAUAGCUGGUCUGAGAGGAUGAUCAGCCACACUGGAACUGAGACACGGUCCAGACUCCUACGGGAGGCAGCAGUAGGGAAUAUUGGACAAUGGGGGCAACCCUGAUCCAGCCAUGCCGCGUGAAUGAAGAAGGCCCUCGGGUUGUAAAGCUCUUUUGUCCGGAAAGAAAAGCAAUCGGUUAAUACCCGGUUGUUCUGACGGUACCGGAAGAAUAAGCACCGGCUAACUUCGUGCCAGCAGCCGCGGUAAUACGAAGGGUGCAAGCGUUACUCGGAAUUACUGGGCGUAAAGCGUGCGUAGGUGGUUCGUUAAGUCUGAUGUGAAAGCCCUGGGCUCAACCUGGGAAUGGCAUUGGAUACUGGCGGGCUAGAGUGCGGUAGAGGGUAGUGGAAUUCCCGGUGUAGCAGGUGAAAUGCGUAGAGAUCGGGAGGAACAUCUGUGGCGAAGGCGACUGCCUGGACCAGCACUGACACUGAGGCACGAAAAGCGUGGGGAGCAAACAGGAUUAGAUACCCCUGGUAGUCCACGCYCUAAGCGAAUGCGAACUGGAUGUUGGGUUUCAACUUUGGGAACUUCRGUAUCSAAGCUAACGCGUUAAGUUUCGCCCGCCCUGGGGSAGKUACGGGWCGYAA